AUGAAAACACAGGACCUGACCUUUGGUGGUUGCAUCCGGCGGCAGCUGCUGGAGAAUCUUUAUCAUUGUCCUCAAUGUCAAGAGGUGAUUGUUGUGGAUGGUUGUUAUUGUAGUUUGUUGAUCGCUAUUUUGAUUGCUUCAGGUUUUUUUUCCCACAGCCUAGACAUAGCUUCGGUUUUGCAAGGCUUUGCUCUUUGCCAGUGUAAUUUCUUACGUAUGUACGUUGGUGUUGGUGGAAGCAUGUGCUUACUGUGUUUUGUAUACCCUCGGUGCUUCAUUUUUAGUCAGAAAAUUCAUCCCCUGCAGAAAGAGGAGGAAUUGUGA
rnacentral:rRNA from 1 species